CCUACGGGAGGCAGCAGUGGGGAAUAUUGGACAAUGGGGGAAACCCUGAUCCAGCGACGCCGCGUGAGUGAAGAAGUAUUUCGGUACGUAAAGCUCUAUCAGCAGGAAAGAAAAUGACGGUACCUGACUAAGAAGCCCCGGCUAACUACGUGCCAGCAGCCGCUGUAAUACGUAGGGGGCAAGCGUUAUCCGGAUUUACUGGGUGGAAAGGGAGCGUAGACGGUAGCGCAAGUCUGGAGUGAAAUGCCGGGGCCCAACCCCGGAACUGCUCUGGAAACUGUGAAGCUGGAGUGCAGGAGAGGUAAGCGGAAUUCCUGGUGUAGCGGUGAAAUGCGUAGAUAGCAGGAGGAACACCGGCGGCGAAGGCGGCUUACUGGACUGUAACUGACGUUGAGGCUCGAAGGCGUGGGGAGCAAACAGGAUUAGAUACCCGGGUAGUC
rnacentral:rRNA from 1 species